UAAAAAAUGAACGGAUCAAAAAAUAAUUGGUUUUUAAAUAAAUUUUUUCAUAUAUUUAUAUAUAUAUACACAUAUAUAAAUAUUUGUACUGUUAUUAUAUUAAGGUGAUAUUUUAGGAUAGUCUGAUCUUUGAUCGAACGGACCGAAAGUAGUCAAGAUUUUCAAGUCUUAAACAUUAAUUGCUUCCAUCUGUUCUUUUCUCUUUCUCAGAAAAAGUAGAAAUACGUGUUUCUCCUCCCAAAGAUGCAGCGAUAGGUCACCAUCACCCCUUUCCCUUUCAAUUCACAAACCACUGACCCCAUUUUACAUCUCCUCCUCCUCCCCUUCUCCCUCAUGUCAAAACAACAACCCUAGCACUGCCAUGGCUACUGCCCCUAUGCGAGAAUCCCCCCAAAACUUGCCUCUUCCACCCCCUAAAACCAAAAAUCAAAAAAAGCAAAAGCUCUAAAUUCGUGUAAGAAUGAAAAAUCGGUCCAAGUAGCCAUUAAUGGCUUUAAAAUCAAAGAUCUCAUUCAAAUCUUCCCCCCCCCCCCCUUUCUCAUUAUUUUGUUGUAUAGGUUUUAAAUCUGGACCUUUUAAGUCCAGAUUUGCACCUAUAAAUGAGGGAGGGGUUGGACAGUAAAAAAAUAAGAGAAGAUAGAGAGAAAAAUAAGUGAAAAAAAUGGGGCAACAAAAACAAAAGUGAAAACAAGAAAUUCGUGAUAAAAAAGAAGAGAAAGAGCAGAAGGAAAAAAAAAAGAGAAGGGAAUUGUAGGUUCGUAUGCUGUUCCCGAUCAAAUCUAGGUUCCCGGAGUCCGAGUUCUUUGCUAAAUUCUUGAGGGAAAGCCCCGAUUUUGCUGCACCCCAAAAAGUGCGAAUCUGUUUUCUCGCCUCAUUUUUUUCUCCUUUUCUUAUAUAUUAUUUGGUGAGGUGAGCAUGUUAGUUUGAAUUUAUUGAAGUCCUGUGUUGUUAAAAGAUGAGUGGCCGUCUAAUCUCGAUCACUUGAGUUGUCGAUGAAUGAUUGUAAAAUUGGGGUCUGAUGUGAUCGUUUAUUGGGAUUAAAGUUGUUUGUUUGGAUGCGUGUGUUUAAGUGUUAAUUCCACCCGUCUUUAAAAAUUAGGCGUGAAUAUGAUUUUUUUUUUUUUUGGUUUAUGUUGCCUUGAUUUAGAAACCAGUUUAUGUUUUAAUUUGUUCUCCGUUAGAUUCGUAAAGAAUAUCAAUGAUGUAGCAUACUAACCAAUCUAAGUAUUUUUCUUUAUACCUGUUUCUUGCGAGAUACUAAUUAAUUCAAGUUUAAUUUCUUUCUCUUAUAUCUGAAAUUAAAGUUAUUAUACGGUACUGACUAUGACAUGUUUUAAUUGCAUAUCUUCAGUUAAUUAUGUUGUAGGAUAAUGACUUAUUUAGGUGCCCCCUUAUGUACUUAAUUUCAAGUACCCAUGCAGUUAGUUUAUGAGAUAUUUAUUUUCCGG
rnacentral:lncRNA from 1 species